UGGGGAAUAUUGCACAAUGGGCGAAAGCCUGAUGCAGCGACGCCGCGUGAGGGAUGACGGCCUUCGGGUUGUAAACCUCUUUCAGCAGGGACGAAGCGCAAGUGACGGUACCUGCAGAAGAAGCACCGGCUAACUACGUGCCAGCAGCCGCGGUAAUACGUAGGGUGCAAGCGUUGUCCGGAAUUACUGGGCGUAAAGAGUUCGUAGGCGGUUUGUCGCGUCGUUUGUGAAAACCAGCAGCUCAACUGCUGGCUUGCAGGCGAUACGGGCAGACGUGAGUACUGCAGGGGAGAGUGGAAUUCCUGGUGUAGCGGUGAAAUGCGCAGAUAUCAGGAGGAACACCGGUGGCGAAGGCGGGUCUCUGGGCAGUAACUGACGCUGAGGAACGAAAGCGUGGGUAGCGAACAGG
rnacentral:rRNA from 1 species